CUCCGCCCGGUCCUAGCGCCCGCCCUGACGCCCGAGCCGCUCUGCCGCAGGCCGGGCACAGGCGGGCUGAGCGCGGGACUUCACGGGGAAACCCGAGUCCUAGGAAACCGGCUUUAGAGACGCCGGAGACGCGGUGCCAGAGAGGGGAAGCAGCAGCCCUGGAGACGUUCGGCCGCCUGAGAUCUAGCUCGCUAAAGGCACAGGGCAGUCACUGGACUCCCAGGGCUAACCUCUUCAAGGUUGCUUCAGAGCUGUACCAUAACUACAGGCUCUCUACAUCAGCUUCUGGGCUGUUUUUAGCAGUACUCUUCAAUGAUUCACAAGAUGGUGGCUUUGCUUUCUAGACACACGUGGUACAACCCACUCACUGGCUCCAUUGCACCUGCCUGGGAUAGCAUCUGUCACUUUAGUGCCUGGGCCCAGACUGGAAUAAAGGAUGAGACCUCUAGGAGCCUAUAACAAGGAAUGAGUCUACAGAUCUGUAACAUGGCGUCCAACAUUCUACCUAUGCUUAUUGUGGUUAUAUGCUGCCCCCCUCUUCAUGGGCCCUCAUGAGUUGCUGUGCACCCUGGCUUAGAU
rnacentral:lncRNA from 14 species